rnacentral:rRNA from 1 species
UACGUAGGGGGCGAGCGUUGUCCGGAUUUAUUGGGCGUAAAGAGCGUGUAGGCGGCUUGGUAGGUCUGCUGUGAAAACUCGGGGCUCAACCUCGAGACGCCGGUUGAAACCAUCUGGCUAGAGUCCGGAAGAGGAGAGUGGAAUUCCUGGUGUAGCGGUGAAAUGCGCAGAUAUCAGGAAGAACACCCGUGGCUAAGGCGGCUCUCUAGUACGGUACUGACGCUGAGACGCGAAAGCGUGGGGAGCGAACAGG